rnacentral:tRNA from 1 species
GCGCCUGUAGCUCAACUGGAUAGAGUAUCAGCCUCCGAAGCUGAGGGUUGUGGGUUCAAAUCCCGCCAGGCGCA